GAUGAAGAACGUAGCGAAAUGCGAUAAUUAAUGUGAAUUGCAGAAUUCCGUGAAUCAUCGAGUCUUUGAACGCACAUUGCGCCUCAUGGCAUUCCGUGAGGCAUGCCCAUCUCAGCGUUAGAAAAUAUUCUCAAAUUUUAGUUUUGUGCUAAAAUUUGGAUCAUGUCAAGGAAGCUAUUACUAUUAUUGUGAUCGCUCUUUGAAAAUUGAUAGGUCUUUGAGUUGCUACUCAUAGAACGUGAUGAAUCUUUCUUCGUUCUAUUGUAAUUCACUCUGGUAGUCCUAAAACUUGUAUGCCUGUGGCAUAUCUUGUAAUUUGACCUGAGAUUGGGUAGGGAUACCCGCUGAACUUAAGCAUAUCAAUAAGCGGAGGA
rnacentral:misc_RNA from 1 species